rnacentral:rRNA from 1 species
UACGGAGGGUGCAAGCGUUAUCCGGAUUUAUUGGGUUUAAAGGGUCCGUAGGCGGAUCUGUAAGUCAGUGGUGAAAUCUCACAGCUUAACUGUGAAACUGCCAUUGAUACUGCAGGUCUUGAGUGUUACUGAAGUAGCUGGAAUAAGUAGUGUAGCGGUGAAAUGCAUAGAUAUUACUUAGAACACCAAUUGCGAAGGCAGGUUACUAAGCAACAACUGACGCUGAUGGACGAAAGCGUGGGGAGCGAACAGG